UGGUGGGUAGUUUGACUGGGGCGGUCUCCUCCUAAAGAGUAACGGAGGAGCACGAAGGUUGGCUAAUCCUGGUCGGACAUCAGGAGGUUAGUGCAAUGGCAUAAGCCAGCUUGACUGCGAGCGUGACGGCGCGAGCAGGUGCGAAAGCAGGUCAUAGUGAUCCGGUGGUUCUGAAUGGAAGGGCCAUCGCUCAACGGAUAAAAGGUACUCCGGGGAUAACAGGCUGAUACCGCCCAAGAGUUCAUAUCGACGGCGGUGUUUGGCACCUCGAUGUCGGCUCAUCACAUCCUGGGGCUGAAGUAGGUCCCAAGGGUAUGGCUGUUCGCCAUUUAAAGUGGUACGCGAGCUGGGUUUAGAACGUCGUGAGACAGUUCGGUCCCUAUCUGCCGUGGGCGCUGGAGAACUGAGGGGGGCUGCUCCUAGUACGAGAGGACCGGAGUGGACGCAUCACUGGUGUUCGGGUUGUCAUGCCAAUGGCACUGCCCGGUAGCUAAAUGCGGAAGAGAUAAGUGCUGAAAGCAUCUAAGCACGAAACUUGCCCCGAGAUGAGUUCUCCCUGACUCCUUGAGAGUCCUGAAGGAACGUUGAAGACGACGACGUUGAUAGGCCGGGUGUGUAAGCGCAGCGAUGCGUUGAGCUAACCGGUACUAAUGAACCGUGAGGCU
rnacentral:rRNA from 1 species